GUAUUAUGUAUAUGCCCAGUGAAUUCAGCUAGAUGAAUGUUAAAGGUCACUCCCCACCCACCCCCACCCUACAGAGAAAAGAAAGAAAGAAAAAACUUUCAAGUUGUGGUUGUGUUUUCAAAGAUGGGUGGUUGUUAAAUUUGGAUAACUGAUCAUGUCUUGGAUUCUUGAAUGAGUGUAUGUGCAUAUAUGUAUAUGCCCUGUAAA
rnacentral:lncRNA from 1 species